CUCUCUAGAGGGCAAAACGUCGUUCCUAAUCUCCAGAUCUGCUCUUUGUUCUCUCCAUUGUUGGUCAGUGAGCGAAGUUCCUGUUAGCUUCUCCUGUGAAGUUCGUCUCCCGAAUACAUCAAAGGUACGAACCACCAUUGAUUUGUUGCCCUCAUUGCUCAAGUUUCCAAAAGAUUCCACAUUAAUGCAUGGAAGAUGAACCGCACACUACUGAAGUGCAUGUUAUUGAAAGACGUUGAAAGAAUAAAUUUACUGGGAAUCGACAAAGUCAACUAAAGAGCGGCAUGAGCAGGAAGAAUCAUAAGAGACUGUGAAAGACAUUUUAUAUCAACAUUUGCAAUAAGUACUUGGAAAGCAACAAACAAUCAAUUAUGAAGUAGAACUAUAGGUACUUCGUAUUAGGUUAAACUUGUCAAAGCGAGUGCACGAGCAUGGGGUGCCACAUCGAGAGGCGUUCAAAUGUCGUGCUAGUGAGUUUUAAGUGUUGAAAACACGUGGCGGGUGUCGUCAGGACUCGAGAUGGUAUACGACUGAUUGAAGGUUGAGUGUGACUUAAGCUACAAGGGCGAAAAUUACAUUCCAUUGCAAGACAAAAUAGUCAAUCCGUGAUAGGUGAUCUAUAUCGCGUUUAAGGGCCAAAAUGCAACUUUAAAAGUUGAACGUUAGAUGGGAAGAAGGAUGAAAGAGGACCAUUCGAUUAAGGGCGCAGGUGUAAUUGGGGACGAUUUUAAAUUAUCAAGCAAAGGCGACGUGGUUUCGAGGCAAUUAGUGUGUGAUUCCAGAGCAUAGGAAAUUGGGAAUUUGGACUCAACUCUCCCUUCCUGAUUUAGCCAGACACAUGACACUUGGACAACGGAGAUGUGCCACCCGUUGCUGCAGGAGUUGCCACCUGCAUUUAUUAAGUCCAUGACAACAAUAAAGGACUACCAAUCCUGAGCUAAGAGGAGGACGAGC